ensembl:lncRNA novel transcript
GGCAAAUGUUCCAAAUCUGCCACUAUGAAAUAAUUGGCAGCAAGGAUGGGAAAAAGAAAAACCUCAUUUUAAUGCGAAUGACUUACCAGGAAAUAAAACACAGGACCUCAGAUGAGUGGGCGUUCUCCAUAGCAAACCCUGCCCACUUAACAGUUUUGCCAAGAUAUGGUCCAGAUACAGGUCCUUACCUCUGGUUUGGCUUUCACAGUGAAGCCAAACCAGGACAGCUUGUUACACAGAGUCUGGAAAGCAGCCCUUCAUGUUGGGAUUCUGGAAUUGGGUCACUGCCGAGUCAGAUUUCAAUAAGGAAAACAUACUUGAAAAUCAUGCUGACCAACUAUAUUGAUGACAUUAGGCUAAUUUGACAUGGUAGACAAGAAAUUCCAAGUACUGGAUAAAAUGAUCUGGAGCAUGCCAAGUAAAUGAAAGUUAUUGGAUCUUGAAUCUUCUACCACUAAGAAAGAGGCACAGUGCUUUUUGGACCUCUUUGGAUUUUAGGGAAGUAUAUUCUAUAAUUGAAAGUGGCUCUCUGACCUAUUCAUUAUAUGACUGUGAAGACUACCUAUUUUGAAUGAAACUCUGAGGAAGAAAGGGCUCUGGGGCAGGUCCAGCCUGCAGAGUAACCUUCCCUCCCACUUGGAAAUCCUAACAAAAUCAAAGAUAUCCUUGAUAGCUAAAGAUAGGUAAGUAGGAAUUCUACAAGAAAUCACCAGCA